rnacentral:lncRNA from 1 species
GACAUCAGACGAAGAUUCUGAUAAAAGGGGAUAACAGAGAUUAACCAGAGUAGGAAAAGUACUUUUCUGAGCCAGAGAUAACAAGAGAAACUUAAAGAAAGUGCUGAAGCAAGAAACUUUAAGCCUGUGGGUAGGAUGAACCUAACCAGUUGGCAGUGCCUCGUACUCUGUGAUGGAUUUUCCGAAGACCAAAUGUACCAUUUUCUUGUCUUUUCAAAGAGAGCCACACAGGAAGGAAAACAAGAAAUUCAACUUUUAAGCUGGGCUAUUCAUGGCCUUUGCUAAAUCCUGGCAGAAUUUCACAGUUUUUCAUUAACGAUUCAUCUCACUGAUUUCCUAAUGGAAUGAACUGGCCUUUUCAUUAAGGCCGUAGGGAAGUGAAGCUGAGUUACCCAAUCAUUAAGUGUUGUUAUCUGAUGAGUGAAAAAUGGGUUACUUUUCAAUGUGCAUUUGGGGAGCCGUGUGUGUGUGUGUGUGUGUGUGUGUGUGUUUCCACUAGAUUCCAUUUUGGGAAAAUUGGUUCAAGUGGAAGGAGAAGGUUAUCUUUCAUAUUCUGUUCUUCCAGAAUACUAUAUGGCUUUCUGCUCUGUGGGCAGGCAAAGAAAAAUUGGUGGGCUCAGGAAUCAGAAAUGCAGGGCCAACAGUCCUGUUUCUCACUUUCGAUAAAGGCCAACAUUUUACCUGCUCAAGAACAUUCUAUUCCUUUAACCAACGGGAGUGUUAUUUAAUUAGUUUCUUAGUUUUUCAGCUAAAGCAGACACAUGCACACAUCACACACACAUACAUACGCUGUGGUGGUUUUUCUUCUAUCACCCUUCCCUCCACAGAGAUAUCAAUUUGCAUAAGAGGAGAAAAUAAAUUCAUUUAAACCCCAUUCUAAAUUCAGUAUUAGAAAUGUAAUGAUCUCUAACACUGACCUUUUUAAAAUACUUUGUGGAUAAACCAUUGAUUUUAUUUGUUCUAAAUUUACUUUAAAAGACCUGUUUUGUAAAUCACUAAAACACAUGUAUUUUAUUUACCUGUUUGGGAUAAUAUUAAACAUAAUCUUUGAGGGUG